CGAGGCAAGGGUGCUUUGCACCCGCCGCACUGCUCAGUAACGCGUAGUCAAUCUGCCCUGGGGACGGGGAUAACCCCGGGAAACUGGGGAUAAUAUCCGAUAGGAGAGGGGUACUGGAAGGUCCCCUCUCCCAAAGGGUUCCAUGGCUUGCCAUGGUUCCGCCCCAGGAUGAGACUGCGGCGGAUUAGGUUGUUGUUGGGGUAAUUGCCCAACAAGCCGAUAAUCCGUACGGGUUGUGAGAGCAAUAGCCCGGAGAUGGACUCUGAGACAUGAGUCCAGGCCCUACGGGGUGCAGCAGGCGCGAAACCUUCGCAAUGCGCGAAAGCGUGACGAGGGGACUCCGAGUGGCCUCGCACUGCGAGGCCUUUUGCCGAGUGAGAAAAGGCUCGGCGAAUAAGGGGUGGGCAAGACGGUUGCCAGCCGCCGCGGUAAUAACCGCGCCCCAAGUGGUGGUCACUUUUAUUGGGCCUAAAGCGUCCGUAGCCGGCCCGGUAAGUCCACAGUCAAAGCCCGCUGCAAACAGCGGAAUUGCUGUGGAUACUGCCGGGCUAGGGACCGGGAGAGGCCGGGGGUACGGCCAGGGUAGGGGUUAAAUCCGUUAAUCCUGGCAGGACCACCUGUGGCGAAGGCGCCCGGCUGGAACGGCUCCGACGGUGAGGGACGAAAGCUAGGGGAGCGAUCGGGAUUAGAUACCCCGGUAGUCCUAGCCGUAAACGAUGCCCACUUGGUGUCAGCUGUUCCACGUGAACAGCUGGUGCCAAAGCGAAGGCGAUAAGUGGGCCGCCUGGGGAGUACGGCCGCAAGGCUGAAACUUAAGGGAAUUGGCGGGGGAGCACUACAAGGGGUGGAGGCUGCUGUUC
rnacentral:rRNA from 1 species